rnacentral:lncRNA from 1 species
UCCUUCUCUUUUCCAGAAGUUUUAAGCACAGAUGAAGAUGUUUUACCUGGAUCCUCUGGGUUGGCCCAAGGCCAUGGCCAGAUGGCAGCAGAUUCAAACUCAGAAUACUCCUGUGUGUCUGCAGACAGUGUCAUUCCCUAUGUACUCAAGACGGCAACCCAACAGGAUGCAGCCCAUCCUAAGUCCUCUGCCGUGGUCCCUCCUGGUGGUGAGGCAGCAAAACAACAAUCCUCUGCCUCAGAGUAUUUCUCCUGUUUCUCAACUCUAUCUGAGCUGAUUCGUGCUAAUGAGGAUGCAACACAGACCCAUUGGCCCAAAGAUUUCAAAUGAAUGUGUCCAGCACAUCCCUGCAGUCUGAUGGGAGCACAGAAGUUCUCUUGAGUCCCCUAGCAUCAAGGGAUGGCUGGCUGAAGAUAGAUAUACCUGAUACUCUGCAGCUGCUCCCAGUUGACCUGGUAAAAUGCGGUGCCCAGCUCUAGGCAAAGUAUCCGCCUAGAGCCGUGAGAAGUCCAAGGAAUGAGGGGAAUUACUGGGCACUCAGGAGCCCCGUGGAAUAACUCCUGCUGACCCUCCCCACCCUGCCAGGAGGCAGGCACCACUGAAAAUUCCUGCAAGAUUGCCUUGUUGAGAAGAAGGCCUUAUAGGUAGAGAUGUUAGUACUGUGAUCAGGGCAUGUCUCCUUCCUAGAGCUUUGGCCAGUGGAAUAAGAAGAUUGAUGACAGCUUUGCAGAACUCAAGGGAGGAGACUGUUAGCUUGACAGAGGAUCUAAAAGGAUAUUUCUGAUCUCUUUCCUCCCUUUGACUUCUACUUGUAGCUUCUCAAGUCCCUCGAUUUACUGUAGGUUUGAAGACCUGGCUUAUAGUCUUACUCUCCAGCCCGGCCCUUACUCUUCACUCCUCCACAUCUUCUAUCUAUGAAUAUGUGCCUGAACACUCCAAAUAUCAAUGGUCCAGACUGUAAUCCAUAUUCUUCCUCCCCUCCACUUGCACCCAUACAUUUGCUCCACUGUAGUCUCUGUUAACUUAUCCUUAUUUUUCUACAUCCUUUUCUUUAUAUGAACAUACACCUUUCUCCUUAUCUUUUUCUAAUAUACUCACUUGCACAGUUAUCUGGCUGACAGAUAGGCAUUCUUAUUAUUGAGAGAGAAAAACUAUUUCACAAAUGAAACAAAAGCAAAGAAAUCCCCCCACUUGACUUCUGUGAGCUUGUGCACACAUAAGUGUGCAAAUACUUCUUAUACAGUCACAGGAGGAUGGAACAUGUAAAUAAAACAUCAUGGAUGAUCA